rnacentral:rRNA from 1 species
AUUGAACGCUGGCGGCAGGCCUAACACAUGCAAGUCGAACGAGUGGCGGACGGGUGAGUAAUGUCUGGGAAACUGCCUGAUGGAGGGGGAUAACUACGGGAAACGGUAGCUAAUACCGCAUAACAUCAGAUGUGCCCAGAUGGGAUUAGCUAGGUGGUGGGGUAACGGCUCACCAAGGCGACGCUCCCUAGCUGGUCUGAGAGGCUGAUCAGCCACACUGGAACUGAGACACGGUCCAGACUCCUACGGGAGGCAGCAGUGGGGAAUAUUGGACAAUGGGCGAAAGUCUGAUGGAGCCAUGCCGCGUGUAUGAAGAAGGCCUUCGGGUUGUAAAGUACUGUCGGCGGGGAGGCGUUACCCGCAGAGGAAGCACCGGCUAACUCCGUGCCAGCCGCCGCGGUAAUAC